GUCCACGCCGUAAACGAUGGAUGCUAGCCGUUGGCGGGUUUACUCGUCAGUGGCGCAGCUAACGCUUUAAGCAUCCCGCCUGGGGAGUACGGUCGCAAGAUUAAAACUCAAAGGAAUUGACGGGGGGCCCCGCACAAGCGGUGGAGCAUGUGGUUCAAUUCGAAGCAACGCGCAGAACCUUACCAGCCCUUGACAUGUCCCGUAUGAGAACCAGAGAUGGAUCUCUUCAGUUCGGCUGGCGGGAACACAGGUGCUGCAUGGCUGUCGU
rnacentral:rRNA from 1 species